ensembl:lncRNA novel transcript
AGAGAUGGCGAUGAUCCAGGGUUGGUUAAGUCAGCAACUCAAUAACCUCAUCAAAAUCCAGAAUAAUAAUCCCUAUCUAUGUUAGGGAUCUAUACAGCCCAUUGAAUGACCAUGUGGCUUGCUUUGACGACUGGGAUGUAGGCAGAAGUGAUAAUAAGCUAGAAUCCUCAAGGUCAUCUACUAGUUGCAAAAGAGCAGCUGGAUCCUAGUAGAAAAGAUCCAAAGUAGAAAAGUCUGAAAUGAAAACAAUAAGCAAUAUUCAUCAACAGGUAAAUAACCUUUAUCUGAGAAAACAUUCUUCUGGAAUGGCUUGAGAGAUUUCAUGUGGGAUUAUAUAUGCUUCACUUCUGAAGAGGGUCCCAACAUCAGAUGUCCUACCUGGGCUAGCUCAUCUGCAAGCUCCAUGAGUCCUCUCUCGCACCUGCUGCAGUGAUUCUGCAACAAACAGAUCAUUCCCAGUCAGAGCAAUAGAAGGAGAAGGGGUCUUAUUCUGUUGCCCAGGCUGGAGUGCAGUGGUGCAAUCAUAACUCACUGCAGCCUUGAACUCUCAGGCUCAAGUGAUCCUC